UGAGAAUGUUGUGCUCUCUAUUGGUCACC
rnacentral:piRNA from 1 species